GUGGGGAAUUUUGGACAAUGGGCGCAAGCCUGAUCCAGCCAUGCCGCGUGAGUGAAGAAGGCCUUCGGGUUGUAAAGCUCUUUCGGCGGGGACGAAACGGUUCGUGCUAACACCACGGACUAAUGACGGUACCCGAAGAAGAAGCACCGGCUAACUACGUGCCAGCAGCCGCGGUAAUACGUAGGGUGCAGGCGUUAAUCGGAAUUACUGGGCGUAAAGCGUGCGCAGGCGGUUUCCUAAGUCAGAUGUGAAAGCCCCGGGCUUAACCUGGGAACUGCGUUUGAAACUGGGAGACUCGAGUGUGGCAGAGGGGGGUGGAAUUCCACGUGUAGCAGUGAAAUGCGUAGAUAUGUGGAGGAACACCGAUGGCGAAGGCAGCCCCCUGGGUUAACACUGACGCUCAUGCACGAAAGCGUGGGGAGCAAACAGGAUUAGAUACCCCAGUAGUCC
rnacentral:rRNA from 1 species